rnacentral:rRNA from 1 species
UUGGAGGGCAAGUCUGGUGCCAGCAGCCGCGGUAAUUCCAGCUCCAAUAGCGUAUAUUAAAGUUGUUGCAGUUAAAAAGCUCGUAGUUGAAUUUCGGGAUCAAUAUAUCGGUCGUGCCUUGGUACGUACUGGUAUCAUUGAUUUCUCCCUUCUGACGAAUCAUGAUGUCAUUAAUUUGGUGUUAUGGGGAGUUAGGACUGUUACUUUGAAAAAAUUAGAGUGUUUAAAGCAGGCAUUAGCUUGAAUACAUUAGCAUGGAAUAAUGAAAUAGGACGUUUGACCCUAUUUUGUUGGUUUCUAGGAUCGACGUAAUGAUUAAUAGGGAUAGUUGGGGGCAUUAGUAUUCAAUUGUCAGAGGUGAAAUUCUUGGAUUUAUUGAAGACUAACUACUGCGAAAGCAUUUGCCAAGGAUGUUUUCAUUAAUCAAGAACGAAAGUUAGGGGAUCGAAGACGAUCAGAUACCGUCGUAGUCUUAACCAUAAACUAUGCCGACUAGGGAUCGGAUGAUGUUAAUUUUAUAAUGACUCAUUCGGCGCCUUACGGGAAAC